CAAAAAGUAUUUUCUGUAAUUUCAUGGUGUUUGUUCUAUUAUGAAUUGUGAUUAUCGGUACUGCGAUAAAUUCAGAAUAGUGUAGUAAAUACCGUUUUGUCAAGAAAACAGUACUAAUUCUACAUAACCUCACUUCUACAAGCAAUGCAGAAAAUGCAAUUUCUCAACACAAACAAAAUGAUGAAUGUCCGGGCGCAACCAAAAAAAAGAA